GACUCACACCCCCUUUAAACACAAAGGCUUGGUCCCGACCUUAAUAUCAAUUCUUACUCAACUUAUACAUGCAAGCAUCAACAUACCAGUGAAAACCCCUAUAGUUCUUUCCUCAAAACUUUAAGGCCGGCAUCAGGCACAACAAAUAGCCCAAGACACCUAGCACCGCCACCCCCACAAGGGCCCGCAGCAGUAAUUAAUAUUAAAUAUUAGCGCAAGCUUGAUUCAGUCAUAGUAAUUUUGGGCCGGCCAAUUCUGUGCCAGCCGCCGCGGUUAGACCGUUCAUGGCCCAAAUUGAUACUCAUCGGCGUAAAGAGUGAUUAAAGCUUCUACCAUACUAGAAUAAAACCUAAACUAAAAUGUGAUAAUUUUGUUUUCGAGAAACUCAAACACGAAAGUUAUUCUACUACCCUUGAGCUCACGACAACUAGGACACAAACUGGGAUUCGGUACCCCCCUAUGCCUAGUCAUAAACUUUAAUUUACACAGAAAAC
rnacentral:rRNA from 1 species